CAGCCGCCGCGGGAAUACGAAGGGUGCAAGCGUUAAUCGGAAUUACUGGGCGUAAAGCGCACGCAGGCGGUUUGUUAAGUCAGAUGUGAAAUCCCCGAGCUUAACUUGGGAACUGCAUUUGAAACUGGCAAGCUAGAGUCUUGUAGAGGGGGGUAGAAUUCCAGGUGUAGCGGUGAAAUGCGUAGAGAUCUGGAGGAAUACCGGUGGCGAAGGCGGCCCCCUGGACAAAGACUGACGCUCAGGUGCGAAAGCGUGGGGAGCAAACAGGAUUAGAUACCCCGGUAGUCCCUGUCUCUUAUAC
rnacentral:rRNA from 1 species